rnacentral:rRNA from 1 species
AAGGCAGCUUUCUGGAUCAUUACUGACACUGAGGAACGAAAGCAUGGGUAGCGAAGAGGAUUAGAUACCCUCGUAGUCCAUGCCGUAAACGAUGUGUGUUAGACGUUGGAAAUUUAUUUUCAGUGUCGCAGGGAAACCGAUAAACACACCGCCUGGGGAGUACGACCGCAAGGUUAAAACUCAAAUGAAUUGACGGGGACCCGCACAAGUAGUGGAGCAUGUGGUUUAAUUCGAAGAUACGCGCAGAACCUUACCAACACUUGACAUGUUCGUCGCGACUCUAAGAGAUUAGAGUUUUCGGUUCGGCCGGACGAAACACAGGUGCUGCAUGGCUGUCGUCAGCUCGUGUCGUGAGAUGUUGGGUUAAGUCCCGCAACGAGCGCAACCCUCACUUUUAGUUGCCAUCAUUAAGUUGGGCACUCUGAAAGAACUGCCAGUGAUAAGCUGGAGGAAGGUGGGGAUGACGUCAAGUCCUCAUGGCCCUUACGUGUUGGGCUACACACGUGCUACAAUGGCAUCUACAACAGGAAGCAAAACGGCAACGUUAAGCAAAUCCCGAAAAGAUGCCUCAGUUCGGAUUGCACUCUGCAACUCGAGUGCAUGAAGCUGGAAUUACUAGUAAUCGUGGAUCAGCGUGCCACGGUGAAUGCGUUCCCGGGUCUUGUACACACCGCCCGUCACACCAUGGGAGUUGGUUCUACCUUAAGGCAAGGUUUUAAACCCUUGACCACGGUAUAGUCAGCGACUGGGGUGAAGUCGUAACAAGGUAACCGUA